UACGUAGGAGACGAGCGUUGUCCGGAAUUACUGGGCGUAAAGCGCGUGUAGGCGGAUGAGCAAGUCUGCUGUGAAAGCUCCUGGCUUAACCGGGAGUGGUCGGUGGAAACUGCUCGUCUGGAGGACGGUAGAGGUAGGUAGAAUUCCCGGUGUAGUGGUGAAAUGCGUAGAGAUCGGGAGGAAUACCUGUGGCGAAGGCGGCCUACUGGGCCGACCUGACGCGUGAGACGCGAAGGCGUGGGGAGCGACGAUCGAUAACG
rnacentral:rRNA from 1 species